AUGGCGGUGCAGCAGUGUACAGUGGCGCUCUUGGUGGCCGUCGCCCUCGUGGCGGGGCCAGCCGUCUCGUACGCUGCCGAAGCUGGCUACGCCCCAGCCGGGCCACAGCCCAAGGCCACGACUAAGGAGCAGAAGCUAGUUGAGAAGGCCAACAACGCCUUCAAGGCGGCCGUGGCGGCCGCAGCCGCAGCCCCUCCAAUGGACAAGGGCAAGAUAUUCGCGAACACCUUCGUGGUCGGCUUCACUCUGGCGGGGGCCUCACAAAAAGCCCAGGGUGCUACCCCGGAGGCCAAGUAUGAAUCCUUCGUGGCCAUGUUCGACAAGUCGCUCUGCAUCAUCGUCGGCAUCCUGAAGGUCCACUUCGGUGAGGAAGUCAAGGGGCCGAUCCCUGCCGGCGAGCUCAAGGCCAUCGACCAGAUCGACGCCGCCUUUAGCACUGCAGCCACCACUGCCGAUGCUGCCCCGAUAAAGGACAGGUCCACCGUCUUCGACUCUGCCUUCAGCAAGGCCAUCAAGGAGACCACGGGUGAUGCAUACGAGGCCUACAAGUUUGUCCCUGCCCUCGAGUCCGCCGUCAAGAAGAGCUACGCCACGUUUCUUCCCGGGAAUCCCCAGGACAAGCGCACGCUCAUUGAGUCAUUCCUGAGCGACACCAUCGUCUCCAUGGUCGUCCCCGCCCCCGCCACCCCCACCGCCGCCGCCGCUGCCGGUGGCUACAAAGUCUGA
rnacentral:rRNA from 1 species